rnacentral:rRNA from 1 species
GACAGAGGGUGCAAACGUUGUUCGGAAUUACUGGGCGUAAAGCGCGCGCAGGCGGUCCUUUAAGUCAGGGGUGAAAGCCCAGAGCUCAACUCUGGAACUGCCUUUGAAACUAGAGGACUUGGGUACGGGAGAGGUGAGUGGAAUUCCGAGUGUAGAGGUGAAAUUCGUAGAUAUUCGGAAGAACACCAGUGGCGAAGGCGGCUCACUGGCCCGGUACUGACGCUGAGGUGCGAAAGCGUGGGGAGCAAACAGG